rnacentral:lncRNA from 1 species
CCGUGUGUAACGGGGGGGGGGUCAAUAAUAAGGGGGGGUCUAUAAAGGUGGGGGGGGGUCUAUAAUGGGGGGGGGACAAUAAUAAGGGGGGGGUCAAUAAUAAGGGGGGGGUCCAUAACAAGGGGGGGUCGAANUGGAUUUGGGGCUAUUUGGGGUGGAUUUGGGGCUAUUUAGGGCUAUUUAGGGUCAAUUUGGGUCAAUUUGGGGCAGUUUUGGGGUCCGAAUUUGGGUCAAUUUGGGGCAGAUUUGGGUUCCUUUGUGUCCUUUCUGGCCAACAAUGGGGGUUAUUUGGGGUCGGGGUAGAUUCAGGGCUCAGAUUUGGGGUCAUUUGGGGCGGAUUUGGGCCAUUUUCGGUCACUUUUGACCCCUUUU